UACCCGCUGAACUUAAGCAUAUCAAUAAGCGGAGGAAAAG
rnacentral:rRNA from 1 species